GCCUGGGGAGUACGGCCGCAAGGCUAAAACUCAAAGGAAUUGACGGGGGCCCGCACAAGCGGCGGAGCAUGCGGAUUAAUUCGAUGCAACGCGAAGAACCUUACCAAGGCUUGACAUGUUCUCGAUCGCCGUAGAGAUACGGUUUCCCCUUUGGGGCGGGUUCACAGGUGGUGCAUGGUUGUCGUCAGCUCGUGUCGUGAGAUGUUGGGUUAAGUCCCGCAACGAGCGCAACCCUCGUUCCAUGUUGCCAGCACGUCGUGGUGGGGACUCAUGGGAGACUGCCGGGGUCAACUCGGAGGAAGGUGAGGACGACGUCAAAUCAUCAUGCCCCUUAUGUCUUGGGCUUCACGCAUGCUACAAUGGCCGGUACAAUGGGUUGCGAUACUGUGAGGUGGAGCUAAUCCCAAAAAGCCGGUCUCAGUUCGGAUUGGGGUCUGCAACUCGACCCCAUGAAGUCGGAGUCGCUAGUAAUCGCAGAUCAGCAACGCUGCGGUGAAUACGUUCCCGGGCCUUGUACACACCGCCCGUCAAGUCACGAAAGUUGGUAACACCCGAAGCCGGUGGCCUAACCCUUGUGGGGGGAGCCGUCGAAGGUGGGACCAGCGAUUGGGACUAAGUCGUA
rnacentral:rRNA from 1 species